CAAACUUUUCUCCUCCGUUACUGCUAUAGAUGGUGGAAGUGUUACUUUUGGUAAUGGUAAGCGCUCUCCUGUGAUUGGUAAGGGAUUUGUUGCAGGUAUUGGUUUAUCUUCGAAUGAUGUUUGCUUGUUAGUUGAUGGAUUGCGUGUUAAUUUGAUCAGUAUUAGCCAACUGUGUGAUACUGACCAUACUGUUAAUUUUUCUAAAAAUAUAUGUACUGUGCUUGAUAGUUCGGGUAAGUGUAUCAUGACAGGAAAACGAACAUUGGAUAAUUGCUAUGCCAUUCAGCCUAUUGCAUCUGGCAUAAACUGCUUACCUAGCAAACUAAAUGAGGGUUUGUUGUGGCAUCAACGACUAGGUCAUGUCAACUUUGAACACCUGGAUAAUCUAACUCGGAAUGACUAUAUCAAGGGAGUUCCUAGACUUGGAAGAAAUCGUGACACUGUGUGUGGUGGGUGUCAACUAGGUAAACAGAUACGCAGUCCACAUUCCAAGAAAAAGUCCAUAACCACAACCUCUCCUUUAGAACUCAUACACAUGGAUCUGAUGGGUCCUACUCGUACUCCUAUCUUAGGAGGCAAACAAUACAUCUUGGUUAUGGUUGAUGAUUACACUCGCUUUACCUGGGUAUCAUUCUUGCGUGAAAAAUCUGAUGCGUUUCUUGAGUUUCAGGGGAUAUGUCUUCGUAUUCAGAAUGAGAAAGAUGCUCAAAUUAAACAUGUCAGAAGCGACAGAGGCGGUGAGUUCACAGACACAGGUAUGAUUGAGUACUGCAUUGCUAAUGGUACGUGGCAAGAAUUUUCAGCCCCAUACACUCCACAACAAAACGGAGUCGCUGAAAGAAAAAACCGUGUUAUUCAGGAGAUGACUCGUGCUAUGUUGCAUGCAAAGGAUGUUCCUACCAAGUUCUGGGCGGAAGAGGUUCACACUGCUUGUUACAUAAUGAACCGUGUAUAUCUGAGAUCUGGUACUACACAAACUGCUUAUGAGCUAUGGUAUGGUAAGAAGCCGAAUCUCAAAUAUAUGCGAGUUUUUGGCAGUGUUUGCUAUGUGUGCAAGGACAGACAAAGUCUGUCUAAGUUUGAUAGCCGAGGUGAUGUUGCUCUAUUACUUGGUUAUUCCUCUAAUAGUAGGGCCUUUCGAGUAUUUAACUACACCACUCGCAAGGUCAUGGAAUCAUUUAAUGUAGUUGUUGAUGACACUAUUACAUCUGACCCUUCUGUUUCCACUGGUACACAGGAUGUCACAGCUCUCUCACCCGUGUCAGACUCGGUUGACAUGUCUCCCAUGUUGUUAUCAUCACCUGAUAAUGGCGAUGAUGGUGCUAAACCUUCUGUUACUGCAGAGGACUUGUCUGGUCGGACCGGUGCUGUACCCACACCGGAUGAUGUAGUUCUAUCACCUGGAAUGAUAGAUGUGUCUCCAGAUCUCUCCACUGUCCCUGCUGAACCUGAAGGGGUGUUUAAUCAAGCCUCACCGCGUGUUAAACAACAUCACUCCUUAGGGGAUAUCAUUGGGGAUAUUAAUGAUCAGCGUCUGACUCGACGGAGGGCCAAAGAGACAAAUUGUGUUCACUAUGUUUGUUAUCUUUCUUCUCUUGAACCUAAAAAUGUUACUGAUGAUCUUACUGAUGAUGAUUGGCUAGUUGCUAUGCAGGAAGAACUCGGUCAGUUUAAGCGUAGUGAUGUCUGGACGUUAGGUCCUAGACCUACUCACACUAAUGUGGUUGGCACCAAGUGGAUCUUUAAAAACAAAUUGGAUGAGUUUGGGCAGAUUGUGCGCAACAAGGCAAGGCUUGUAGCACAGGGCUAUAGUCAGAUUGAACGUAUUGACUACGGAGAGACUUUUGCUCCUGUGGCUAGGUUAGAAUCUGUCAGGCUUCUUCUUGCUAUGGCAUGCCACUUGAAUUUCAGGUUGUACCAAAUGGAUGUCAAAAGUGCGUUUCUCAAUGGUAUUCUCAAUGAGGAGGUCUAUGUUGAACAACCUAAGGGGUUUGUGGAUCAUAUUUUUCCAAAUCAUGUCUUCAAAUUGCAAAAAGCAUUGUAUGGGUUAAAACAGGCUCCUCGAGCUUGGUAUGAACGUCUAACUUCCUUCUUACUAGGGAAAGGAUUUGUUCGUGGCAGUGUUGAUCGAACUCUGUUUAUACUGAGAAAGAAUAAUGAUGUUCUUCUCGCUCAAGUCUAUGUGGAUGAUAUAGUGUUUGGAUCGACGUGCCCAAGUCUUUCUGAAUCUUUUUCUCAGUUAAUGAGUUCUGAAUUUGAAAUGAGCUUAAUGGGAGAAUUAAAUUUCUUUCUUGGCUUGCAGGUUAAGCAGUUUGAUCAUGGAGCUUUCAUCUCUCAAACAAAGUAUGCCAAAGAACUGGUUAAAAAGUUCGGUUUUGGCACUUCAAGUGGUCAAGAUACUCCCAUGGGUGAGAGAGUACGUCUUGGUAAGGAUGUUAUGGGUAAGUCUGUUGAUAUUCGUGAAUAUCGGAGUAUGAUUGGUAGUCUAUUGUAUCUCACUGCUAGUCGUCCAGAUAUUUCUUAUAGUGUUGGGGUAUGUGCAAGAUUUCAGGCUAACCCUAAGGAAUCUCAUCUCACUACUGUUAAGCGUAUUAUUCGGUAUGUUGCUAGCACACUUGACUACGGUCUAUGGUUCACCAGAGAUACGAAUAGUGUUGUGGCAGGUUAUUGUGAUGCUGAUUGGGGUGGUAAUCUUGAUGAUCGUCAUAGUACCAGUGGUGGCUGUUUCUAUGUUGGGAAUAAUCUUGUUUCCUGGCAUAGCAAGAAACAAUCAUCUGUAUCCAUCUCCUCGUGUGAGGCUGAGUAUAUAGCUGCUGCUAGUGCAUGUACACAACUUCUGUGGAUGCGUCAGAUGCUUCGGGACUAUGGCAUUCAACAACAGGCGAUGGACUUGUUCUGUGAUAACACCAGUACCAUUAGCAUCUCCAAAAAUCCUGUUCAACACUCAUGCACAAAGCAUAUCGACAUUCGUCACCAUUUCCUUCGUGAGGCGGUUGAAAAGGGUGACAUAGCAAUGGAGUUCAUUCCUACUGAACAUCAGCUAGCGGAUAUUCUUACAAAACCACUUGAUGCAGCCCGCUUCCAUUCCUUGCGUAAGUCUAUUGGGGUUGUAUCUCUUCCCUAAUUGUUUUGGUACUUUCUUUUUCUCUCUAUUCUUAUAUCACUGGCUAUGUCUGUUCUUGUCAUUAUGGUUGGGUGUCUUGGUUCCUUCUUUAUCUGUUGAGGACAAAGGUAAUUUUUCUGAGGAUGGAUUGCUCAAUAAUCAUGAGCUUCUUUUUGUUGGUAUUGGGGACAUACUACCUUCUUUAUUGUGUGGAUUCCAUGUUACAGAUAUUUCUAGUUUGGCAUCCUCACCUGUUUUUGUGUCAUGCAUUGUUGUAAGGUUACAUCAUACUCUCUUCGUCUUGGUAGUUUCUUACAUGAUGCAUUUACAUGUAGUUGGAUGUGUCGUUUUGCAUACCUGUAUAUCUCCAGUCUUGUAUGGUUUCCGUUCAAUGAUCAUAGUCUUCUCUUAUAUUUUUUUUACCUCUUGUAAGUGGUCAAUGACUCACAAAAUCCUCAGCCAUUUGAAUGUCUUGAGAGCAUACUCAUUUGGCUAAGAACCCAUUGGGGCUGUGAGGGUCAUGCUCUGACGGAUGCACUCAGGAGAUGUUAGUUCUUGUGUUGCACGUUAUCAUGGUAUUGCACUUCUUGAGUGUGUUUUUGCCGAAAAGAUGUAGGCUACACCCUACCCUCGUGUUCUGGUAAAAGAUGGAGAUAUUCUAUACUCCCACACGGGAAUGGCAUUUGUAUCAAAUGGUUUUAUAAAAAAAAAAAAAAAAAAAAAAUGAUGAUGAAAAUGCCAAAUGGCUUUCGCUUUUAUUCAGUUGAACGACAAGUAGAACAACGAUAUUGUGUGUUUCCUUGGUUUUGUUGUGAUCCGGGUCUCUUUCAUAUUGGUCUUGUUGCAAGUGACUUUCCUUUUAUUCAAUGAUCAUGCUUUAGGCUGAUUCCGGGGGUUGGUAUAGGUCCUUCGAGUUCUUCUGCAUGUUUGUAUCAUUCUAGUAGCUACCAUGGCUUGGUGCAUGAUGUAGUUCUUCCAAUUUGCAUCUCCUUGUGGUUGAGGUUUGUUUACACUGUAUUCUGCUAUAAUUGGAAUCCUUACAAUAAGUAGAAAUGGUUUCCUUGUGAUGUCUCUCAAUAUUUGUUUUGGGGUGUUAUUAGGUUUGUUUUUCUGGCUGUAGGGGUGGUUCCUCAUUGUUUGAGUAAAAAAAAAAAAAGGGGGGGGGGGGGGGUACGAACGUUGUUAUGACGUUCGUAUGUUGUGUUGGUCAGAACCUUUUAUAACGUACGAACGUCUCCAGUACGUACGAACGUGUAUCCUGACAGUUUUUUUUUUUUUUGGGUCCCGACGUACGAACGUCAAUAGAACGUUCGUACGUUCCUGUUACAGACUCGGCCCACAUAUACCUUUUACGCUUCAAUGUAUAAACGGUUCGGCCCAUCUGUUACAUACAAAUCGUGCACCCUCUUCCCUCUCGCACGAACAUAAGGGAUUUUUCUUGCUCUCCCCUUUCCUUUUUCUCUGGAUUGGUUUUUGUCGACCUUAUUCGUGUUCUUCUUCUCUUCGUUUGAUUACUGUUCUUCCAUAGUCGUUCUUGUUCUGGUUUAUUCUCUGUAUUUCUUUUCUUCGAUGUUGAGCAUGUUAGUGGAUAUUGCUAUUUUAAUAUUAUUUCUAGUUCUUCUCUGUUUUGAAGUAAAUUUCCGCUAAUUAGGUACUGGAUCUCCCUAAUUGGGCCCAAGUUGGGUCUAUUUGUUUGUGUUGUCUAUAUAUAUGGGAGUCUUCUAUUCUCUGACUCCUAUUGUGUCUUCUUACCUCCUUCUAGUUCUCUCUUUGUUCCUCAGAUUUCUUCAAUGGCAGAGUAUGAGCUUCAUGGGGUUUUUGUUCCGGCUGUUGGUUAUGUGUCGUUUAUGGUGAUGGAAUACAAAAACAAUGCAAAGGUUUGUCGUUUAUGUCGUGCUCCCCAUGGGUAUGCCUAUAUUCAUCCACCUUCACGUAAUCCGUGCAUGACUCAUGUCAAUCAUUGGGAGCGACUACCGGGACAUCUUCAAAAUCACAUCUUGGAGUUGGUUGGAUACCCGAAGGUUCCAGGACUUGCUGCUCCUCUUACCGACUGUGGCUUGGACAGCAGAAUUGAAGAGUUAUUUUGUACGAGUGAUGAUGAUCAUGGAAUAGCUCGAUGGAAUAGCCCUUCGGCUCGUGCGAAAGCUUUAUGUCCUGUCUUAAGCUUUAUGUUCAUGUGAUGUUUCGGUAGAAUAGAUCUUCGGCUCGUGCGGAAGCUUAUUUCUCCAAGCUUCCUCUGGGUCAUUGGGAGCGAGUUUUUCGAAUUCGUUAAUUUUAGCUUUAUCUUAUGUCUUUAUUGCCUCUUAUGACUAUGGAUUUAUGUGUUUGGUUUUUAGUUGUUCUCUUGAACUUUAACAGUUGGGAUAGGUUUAUCUUCUUAUCUGUUUUGUCUUGUUUGUUUGGUGUUGAUUUCUUUUCUUGGUAUUUUUUAUUAUUACUGUUUAUUUCCUAUUCGUCGUGUCGUUUGCUGUUUGGUUCUUUUGUUCACUUGUUGUGACAAAAAGGGGGAGAUUUAUGACUCUAAUUACUAACAAUCGUCUCUUUGUUGUUAGGGUAUUCUUGGGUCAUGUUUCAGGUAUGCUCCAUGCAUGUGGGGAGUGAACGUGUUGAUGUUUUGGGAGUUAUACAGUUAUGGGGGAGUUCGUGUGGUAAAAAUUUUGGAGUUCAUGAAGUAUGGGGGAGUUGCCCGAAGGAACUUCUGUUGAUCACUUGAUUGCUUUGGAAAUUCUUAGUUGCUUCCGUUCGGUCUCUGAUAGUUAAAACGUCUUGCUCAAGCUGGAUAACAAGAAUUGGUGACUUGGUAUGUGUUCUACCUUGAGUGAUUUUGUAGGCAUGUUUUAUAAAUGCCAUGGUUUGGGUUUGUAAGCACGUUUUAUAAGUGCCAUUAGAGUCAUAGGUUUUUGUCACAAAAUCAAUGUCAAAGGGGGAGAUUGAAACCGGCACGAAGUGGUUUGACAUCAAUUUUGUGACAAAGUGUCCUUGGUUAUUUCGCCUUGAGUUCAUUGUUAAGAAAACCUAGUUGUACGCACGUCGUCCCGCGUCCUUGUCUUCGCGUCGUGUGUCAUUAGUGUGUUUUUUGGUUCAGGACGUACGUACGUUUUGUAUGUCAGCAAGUUAGUUUGAGUUCUGGACGUACGUACCUUUAUAGGACGUUCGUACGUCGCAGCAGGCAGCAGGCGUAUUUUCGCUAAUUCGGCCCAUUUUCUUUGGUUUCCAACCCUAAGUAUAAAUAAGGUUUCUCUUCCAAAGAACAAGUUAGUUCUUUGGCCGUCCAUUCUUCUUCUAGUUCAUGAGUUUUGGUUUAGGUUUUGGUGUUGAAAGUGUUUGUGGCUAUUGAACUCAAUUCCCUUCUUUCCCCCUUCUCUCAAUUCAUCAAUCUGUGAUCUUCCAAAGUUAAUUGUGAUUUCGGCUUCGAGUCUUCUUGUGUGUUCAUCAAGAAGUCGAGUGUCUUGUGCGUACAUCAAGGUGCUCUGGUGAAGUCAAGGUGUUAGAGAUAACCAGGAGUAUCAACUCGCAGUGAGUGCAGGUAGUUGGUAGGUUUGUACAUCUCUUUUCAUCUAGUGGAUUAUUUGUUGUCGCGAGGACAACCGUGGACGUUUCCCUUUUCGGGUUUUACCACGUUAAAAAUUGCUGUGUGUUAUUUACUUUCUGCGUAUUGUUUGAUUGUUUGGUUGAAUAUUUAAUUGUCAUAUUAGCACUAUUUGUAGUUUCUCAUUCUCAAGAAAAGACAGCUUUGCAACUGGCUUUGUUGAAUGAAGACAAGAAAAUGAUAAAACUAUUGACUGAAGGAAUAGAUCCUGACUUCGAAUAUGGUACUAACAUCGAUAGAAACAAGUCACUUUUGAUUGCCAAGACACAAGCCCAAGAAUCUCUAGAUACUGGAAACAAGAGUGACUCUGCAGGUAACACUUCUUAUUAUCCUUGUAUCCAUUUUGUAACUAUAAUCCAGCUAUUAUUUCUUUCUAAACAUUUGUGGUUAAAUUUUUUUUUUUUUUAAACCAAGUUAUAGGGUUAGGCAGACCUCCCCAAUCUCUCAUGAUGAGACCUCACCUCUCAGGUCUCAUCUCUCUCGAGCUCUCCUCAUAAUCGAGCUCCCCUUUUGUAUCACCACCACUACUAUAAUAAACUUCUUUCUCUCUCUCCGUGGAUGUAGACACAAUUGUCGAACCACGUAUACAAUGGUGUUCAUGUCUUCUCUACUUUAUUAUUACUUAUCAUGUCAUUACAUAUAUUCAUCUUUCAUUAAUGUAUUUACCAACCUCACAAUUAUGGUUAAUACAUACAGUACGUGGCGGAGCCAGGAAUUCAACUUACCUGAGGCACUCUUAACAAAUUAUACAAGCAAAUAAUUUCCUUCAAAACAACAAAGGGCAAAUAUAACUCAAAUUACAUUUGAUAAAACACAUGCUAUAAAUUAUCUUAAUUAAAAUAAAAUAUUAAAAAAAGGCCUCAGUUUUGGGUUGCCUAAGGCCACCCAUUUGCUUGAGCCGGUCCUGUUUGAAAGUCAAAAUUUGAGAUACGCCAUUUGAAAAAAAAAAUUGAGAUACCCCAUUUCAAGUUGUAUCUUAGCCAUCCAUCAUAAAACUAACCUACGGUUGUAAAUCUCUUCUGUCUUGAAAUGGGGUAUCUCAAAAAAAAAUUCAAAUGGGGUAUCUCAAAUUUCGACUUUCAAACAAGGGUAUGUCCAAAAAUCUCUAAAAUAUAUGUUAAAUUCUCAAGCAAGAAGAAAUUGAUCUAUACUACUAUUAUAAACCUGAAUAAAAUUUAGGGGUAAGUCCCGUUAAUGAGAAUUGAGCGUUAGAAUUUUGUCACCUUAUCUGACUAAAAUACCCUUUUAGUCAUGGUUUUUUUUGGUAAAUUUAUAUAAUACCCUUUAAGUAAUAGUUUUAUUAUAAUUUAACAUAUUUUUAUUUAUGGACUAGAUUUUUAUAUAUGAAUAAAAAACUCAAUAAUUAAAAAAUAUUAAUUAUAAAAAAAAUAAACAUGAUGGAGCUUGUAGGGCUAACCAACAUAGUUUCAUCCCCUUUGCAUUUGACAUAUUUGAAUUGCUAGGCUUAGAAGUAGUUGAGCUCCCCAGGAAAGUGCAGAAGGUGAUGGAUAGCAACGUGAUGACUGCGGGUUCGAACGAAUAUGUAUUUAGGAGAAUCGGGUUUGCUAUUCAGAAAGGACUUGCUGCGCAGUAUGUAGCGUGUUUGUCCUUUACUUUUGCAUAAUUCCUAAAAAUUUUAUAAAUAAAAUAUUUAAUUUUUUAAAAAAUAAAAUAAAAUUAUAAUGGAAACAUACUAAAAUGAAAAUAAAACCAGUGAUUAAAUUAGCCAUCCCAAAUUGCAAUGGACAUUAUCAAUUAGUCCCGUCAAACUAUCACAUUAAUGAUUAGUCCUGUUUUUUGACCAAAAGUUAGUUUACAAUAAUACCCUCUACUACUAGUAUUUAAAGUUUGAAAUUGGAAACCGCCAAGUUAGUGGUAGUGUAACAAGUGGAAUUGCUGUCAAGAAUUGCUAUCAAAAAUUGAAACCGCAUAUUAGUGGUAUUGCAAUUUAGUGGAAUUGCUAUUAUAAUUUUUUAGAAUUACAUAAUUAAAAGUUAGCAAUUCUUAGAAUUGCACAUAUAAAUAAGGCAUUAGCAAAUUUUUAGAAUUGCACAUAAAGUUAGCAAUUUUUUAGAAUUGCAAAGAAAAUUUGUAUGUUUUAAUAAAAACUAUAACCUAUGUAUGGGUGUAAUUAACCCUAAUGAAUUUGAAUUAAUUACCCAACUAAUUUAUAGACACCCAAUCACAAAACACCACAUGUCAAUAAUUAAAUAUAACCUAUGUAUGGGUGUAGUUAACCCUAGUGGACUUAAAUUAGUUACGCAAUUCAAGUAGCAAUUACAAGUGUCAAUGAUUAGCAAUUUUUUAGAAUUGCAUAGUUAAAUAGUUAUCAACUUUUGAGAAUUGCAAGUGUUAAUGAUUAGCAAUUUUUUGGAAUUACAUAGUUAAAUAGGGCCUUAAAUAGUUAGUAAUUUUUUAGAAUUGUAUAAUUAAAUGAAGAAAUGGUUAAAAAACAAUUUAAAAGGGUAGUAUUGCAAUUUAAAAAUAUAAAAUUUAAAAAUUUUAGUGGGAUAAAUUGAGUCAAGGAUUAGUUAAUAACUUUUUCAAAGAAAAAAGAUGUAAGAUUAAAUAAUAUUAGAAAGUGGGAUAAAUUGAGUCAUUAAAGCCAAAGUCAAACAGGACUAAUUCAUAAGUAGGGUGGGCUAAAUGGGAUGUAGGACUCAUUCUUUGAAAAUAAAACUAGCCACUAGUAAUAUAGUAGUCUAGUAACGUGGAAACAGCUUAAUGUGUUUGGAAGACUUUGAAAAGAAAAAAAAAAAGCUAAUUUUGGAUGGAAGAUCAGAAUUUAGAUUCCGGUGAAGGCUAAAAUAAAGGAUUCUAUCUUUGUCGGGAUAAAUAUUUCAAGUGUUUUGAUCUCCUUAGAAUUCCUUCCCUCUUAAACUCUAUAUCUCCGCCUUUUGAUCGCCUUCUCUUGAGCUUGAGAUCGAAAGCCAUGGAUCUGUUUGAUCGUGUAAAGAAAGGAGAUCCAGAUUAUAUCAAGACAGUUACAGCAGAUGUACUCCUCAAAGCUAGAGAUGAAAGGGAAAGAACAGUUCUGUUAGUAGCUACAGAGCAGAACCAAUUAGAUUGUUGCAAAGAGAUACUCAAAAAAUGCUUUUCACUUCUCUACAUUCAACAAAAUUCUUAUCCGAACAACACCGUACUUCAUGAAGCUUUAUUUAAUAAAACUACUAGUUACAUGUUCAUUGAUUUUUUUCUGAGUGUGGGUCUUGAUGCAGCAACCAAUGAAAGCAGCAGAAAAGAAAAUAUGCUACGUUUCAAGAAAUGGAUCAAAUUGAAAAGUUGGUUUGGACAUACAGCUUUAACCUAUGCUACUUCCGAAGGCAAUCUUCAUAUAGUGAAAAGGUUAAUUGAAGUAGACCGUGAGUACAAUCUAGGCUUAGCUAAGGAGGAGACAGUGCAGCGAGGCAGUAAUAUCAAGAAGACGGCUUUGCAACUGGCUUUGGAGUAUGAAAACCAGGAGAUGAUAAAAUUGUUGACUGACGAGGGCGAGGGUGAUCCAUACUCUGAUUACAUUCCAUAUUCGAUUGCCAUGGAUAUGUUUGAUCAUGUAAAGAAAGGAGAUUUGGAUUAUGUUAAGACUGUUAAACAAGAAGUACUUCUCAAGUCCAGAGACGAAAUUGGAAGUUCUGUUCUUCAUAUAGCUACAUUUGAAAAUCAAUUAGACUGCUGCCAAGAGAUACUUAAAAGAUGCCCUUCACUUCUCUACCAUCAAAACAAUUUAAAACACACUGUCCUUCAUCAAGCUACAUUUAAAAGGAAUUUAGCAUACAGAUUGGUCAAUUUAUUUGUUGGUGUUGGUCUUGAUGCCGCAACAAUUGAAGGCAACAUUGAAAGCAAAGGCAAAAAUAUGCAACGUUUCAAGAAUUGGAUUAAUUUGCAAACUUGGAGUGGGGAUACAGCUUUAACCAGAGCUAUCCUAAACAAUUGCGGUCAUGAUACAGUGAAAAGGCUCGGCCAAUCCGAGAGGGCUUUUCAACUGGCUUUGGAGAAUGGAGACCAGGAGAUCAUAAAACUGUUUUCUCAAGGAACAGAUCCUGACUUGGAAUAUGAUGUUAACAGUGACGAGAAGAAGUCACUUUUGAUUGUCACUACACAAGCACAAGAAGCUCUACAUACUGGAAACAGCAGUGACUCUGCCGGUAAUACUUCUUAAUAUCGAUCCUAAUAUCCAUUUUAUAAUUUCACAGUUUAAGUAGGGACCUAGGUGUUCUUAGAUUUUAGUAAGGUUGGGUUAGCUAUUAGCAAAAUAUCACAUGCAUAUACAUUCUUUUUGUUAUGUAAAGUUUUCUUACGAAACGCACUACUGCACUCACCUAAAUAUAAUUUGUAGCCCAGUGCAGUCUCUACUCUCUAGGGGGGAAGUUAAAAUUGAUUUUCCAUUGUUUACUUAGUUUUCAGGAUUUUUUUUUAAUAAGUUAUUAAGAAUUGAAAAUUGUAUUAUAUUUCAUUGACGCUAGCUGUGGCAAACCAAAACACCCAAGUGCUGGCUGAAGGAGAAAAUCCUGAUCUUGAAUAUCAGGAGAUUAUUGUAUCACAAUAAUGAAUUCGAGUUGUAUUAAGAGAAUUAGUCUGAUACAAGUACAAUGGGCAAUAGCGGAUAAAACUAAAUAAUACAACCAAAAUCUUUAAGUAAAAAGUUAUGUUUUACAUUUAUUGUAAAAACAAUUACCUUGGUGAUGGUAAAUUCUUAAAUACAAUUACCUUGGUGAUGGUUUCACAGGCCGGAAGGAUGUGACUGAUGAAGCUAACACCGAUGGGAACAAGUCACUUUUGAUUUCCAUGACAAAAAGCCAAGAAACUCUACAUACUGGAAACAAUAGUGACUCAGCAGGUAACACUUCUUAUUAUCCUAAUAUUCGUUUCAUAAUUAUAGUCCAUUAAUUAUUUCCUUCCUAGAAUUUGUGUUUAAAACUAGAUAAUGCAAACCAUUUCCAUGUAUUUUGCUUGGGAAAAGUUAAGUUUCACAUAUAUUAUGUAAAACGUUCAACAGACGCAUCUCCUUUGCAGACGCAUCAUUCAUUACAAGAUAUUUAAUGUCUUGUGCCAAACACGACCUUAUGAUUCCACAAGCUCGUUUGUUCAUCUUCUUCCAAUCCUUCUCUUCCACAUCUUCUGGCUUAUCCUCCAGAACAUCUUCUAGGUCUUGUUGACAUAGAGCAUCCAUUACCUCGCACCUCCACAUGCCAAAGUUAUUGGUGCCGGUAAACUUCUCUACAUCAAUUUUUGCUUGAUGGUAAACCAUUGUCUUGAUUUCCCCCUUCGAAUCCUUCGAAUUCACUUCUUUUGUCAUCUUUCCACCAACCUUCAAGCACUAAACAAUCACCAAACGAAUCUGAAAUUCACACCGGAAUUUCAACAAACACCUUCUAGACGCUCAAGUUCUAACCGAAGCUCUGAUGCCACUUGUUGUGCGCAGCGGAAACUAAUGCACAAAUAAGAUGAUUGAACUAAUGUAUGAAAGUAAAACAAAAACGACAAAAUCAAACAAGCAACCACACAAGACACAAGAUAUACGUGGUUCGGCAAUAUGCCUACGUCCACGGGGAGAAAGGAUGAUGAUUUUCUUAUCGAGACAAUUAUACAAGCCCUCACGAAGAAACCGAAGUCUUCUUCCUCACAAAAGUUCUCAAACUCUCUAAUGGCUUCACACAAUCACCCCUAUCGAAAAACUAAGGUUUUGUUCUCUUCUAUUUGGCUUUAUAACAUAGCCUUACAAUAGACCACGAAUUGGGCUUAAACAGGCUCAUAUUGCACAAAGCAAAGGAAGACGUACGUACGUCCAAAUCACGUUCGUACGUCAAGCCACGGAGAAGUCAUCUGUGAUACGGGACGUACGUACGCCCUAACUACGUACGUACGUUCCCUGAACAAAUACAACGUUCGUACGUCGAAUUGACGUUCGUACGUACAAAGUUAUUUGUUAUGCUGAACGUACGAACACCUUAACUGCGUACGUACGUUCCUGUACAAAAAACUUCCCUCCGUCCUGUUUUUAACCCAACAGUUGUGAGAACUGGUGUAUGUCUCCUUUCUAAGUGUUUGUUAUUACAAUAACUAAGAGUUCUCCAUUAUCGAGAGUUUCUAGCAGUAAGAGAGUUCAUAAGGAAUUAGCAAUGAAUGGAUCGAAAGCCCGGGAUCUUCUUGAUCAUAUAUACAGUUCUGUCAGCAGCUACAAUGCGCAACGAUUUAGAUUGUUGCAAAGAGAUACUCAAAAGUUGCCCUUCACUUCUCUAUCAUCAACACAAUUCCAAAGUGACUGUACUUCAUCAAGCUACAUAUUAUCUGGGUGGAAAUUACAGAAUAGUUGAUCUUUUUCUUAGUGUUGCAAUUCAUGCAACAACAAAUGAAGGCAACAUCGAAAACAAUGGAGAAACAUUGUUACGUUUCAAGAAGUGGAUCAUGUUGCAAGAUCAUCGUUCAGAUACGGUUUUAACCCUUGCAGCCUAUUUGCGCAAUCUUCAUAUCGCUAAAAGGUUCAUUGAAGUAGACCACGAGUACAAACUAGGCCUGUCUCCACUGGUUAUAAGGGUAUGACGCCUUUGCAAUGGGCAGUGGAAAAUCAAGACCAUGAGAUGAUAAAACUGCUGACUGAUGAGGGAGAUCCUUACUCUGAUUACAUACCAUAUUCGAUUGCCAUGGAUCUGUUUGAUCAUGUAAAAAGUGGAGAUUUGGAUUAUGUUAAGAACGUUAGAUCAGAUGUACUCCUGAAGUCUAGGGACAAAGAAAGAAAUUCAGUUCUUUUUAUAGCUACAAAUAACAAUCAAUUCGAUUGCUGCAAAGAGAUACUCAAAAGGUGCCCUUCAGUUCUCUACCAUCAAAACAAUGACAAAAACACUGUCCUUCAUUGUCUUAUAGAUUACAGAUUGGUCGAUUUAUUUGUUGGUGUUGGUCUUGAUGCGGCAACAAUUGAAGGCAACGUCGAAAGCAGGGCAAAAAAUAUGCAACAUUUCAAGAACUGGCUCAAUUUGCAAAAUUACAAUAAUGAUACAGCUUUAACGGGAGCUGCCAACCACUUCGAUCAUGAUAAAGUCGAAAGGCUUCUCAAAGUAGACCGUCAGUACAAGCUCGGCCUAAUGGAGAUAGCCGGUUCUCUGAAACCGGCACGAAGUGGUUUGACAUCAAUUUUGUGACAAAGUGUCCUUGGUUAUUUCGCCUUGAGUUCAUUGUUAAGAAAACCUAGUUGUACGCACGUCGUCCCGCGUCCUUGUCUUCGCGUCGUGUGUCAUUAGUGUGUUUUUUGGUUCAGGACGUACGUACUGCUUAAGGACGUACGUACGUUUUGUAUGUCAGCAAGUUAGUUUGAGUUCUGGACGUACGUACCUUUAUAGGACGUUCGUACGUCGCAGUAGGCAGCAGGCGUAUUUUCGUAUGGAGACGUACGAACGUCAUAUCGACGUACGUACGUCCAAUGUGGGUUUUCACUAAUUCGGCCCAUUUUCUUUGGUUUCCAACCCUAAGUAUAAAUAGGGUUUCUCUUCCAAAGAACAAGUUAGUUCUUUGGCCGUCCAUUCUUCUUCUAGUUCAUGAGUUUUGGUUUAGGUUUUGAUGUUGAAAGUGUUUGUGGCUAUUGAACUCAAUUCCCUUCUUUCCCCCUUCUCUCAAUUCAUCAAUCUGUGAUCUUCCAAAGUUAAUUGUGAUUUCGGCUUCGAGUCUUCUUGUGUGUUCAUCAAGAAGUCGAGUGUCUUGUGCGUACAUCAAGGUGCUCUGGUGAAGUCAAGGUGUUAGAGAUAACCAGGAGUAUCAACUCGCAGUGAGUGCAGGUAGUUGGUAGGUUUGUACAUCUCUUUUCAUCUAGUGGAUUAUUUGUUGUCGCGAGGACAACCGUGGACGUUUCCCUUUUCGGGUUUUACCACGUUAAAAAUUGCUGUGUGUUAUUUACUUUCUGCGUAUUGUUUGAUUGUUUGGUUGAAUAUUUAAUUGUCAUAUUAGCACUAUUUGUAGUUUCUCAUUCUCAAGAAAAGACGGCUUUGCAACUGGCUUUGUUGAAUGAAGACAAGAAAAUGAUAAAACUAUUGACUGAAGGAAUAGAUCCUGACUUUGAAUAUGGUACUAACACCGAUAGAAACAAGUCACUUUUGAUUGCCAAGACACAAGCCCAAGAAUCUCUAGAUACUGGAAACAAGAGUGACUCUGCAGGUAACACUUCUUAUUAUCCUUGUAUCCAUUUUGUAACUAUAAUCCAGCUAUUAUUUCUUUCUAAACAUUUGUGGUUAAAUUUUUUUUUUUUUUUAAACCAAGUUAUAGGGUUAGGCAGACCUCCCCAAUCUCUCAUGAUGAGACCUCACCUCUCAGGUCUCAUCUCUUUCGAGCUCUCCUCAUAAUCGAGCUCCCCUUUUGUAUCACCACCACUACUAUAAUAAACUUCUUUCUCUCUCUCCGUGGAUGUAGACACAAUUGUCGAACCACGUAUACAAUGGUGUUCAUGUCUUCUCUACUUUAUUAUUACUUAUCAUGUCAUUACAUAUAUUCAUCUUUCAUUAAUGUAUUUACCAACCUCACAAUUAUGGUUAAUACAUACAGUACGUGGCGGAGCCAGGAAUUCAACUUACCUGAGGCACUCUUAACAAAUUAUACAAGCAAAUAAUUUCCUUCAAAACAACAAAGGGCAAAUAUAACUCAAUGAAAAAAAGAAUUUUAACCUGACGGUGCACUGCACUCUUCGUGCACAAAUCAAGUAAAAACUAACUAAAAUUUAUAACAAAUCAAGUUGGAAAGCAGUUUAUAAGAGAAAUUACUAAAGUGGUGUAAAAGAGAUUUUAAGAAUUUCUAAUUUUUAUAGUUAACUUGAAAAAUUAAAUGAUUAUUGAAAAGAGAGCGGGAUUGCAAGAAAAAGGAUCCCAAACUUUUUUUUUUUUUUUUUAUAAGAGAGCCCAGUAAAAAACAGUCCAACCCAACAUGAUCAUAAAACAGUAGUACUAUAUAAGCUUUUUACCCAAAUCUAUGGUAAAGAAAAAUAACUGUGGGGCUUUAAAUUACUUAUUUAAUCGUAAUUUAAAACAGUCAACAAAAUCUGUUGUUGCAUAUCACACUGAACUGUUGAACUAAUUACAACCAAUUAAUGACUUACCAUUG
rnacentral:lncRNA from 1 species